rnacentral:lncRNA from 1 species
CCUGGAUUCCCUCCUCCUCUCAACUCUCUCAGAAGCCCUAGCCCCCACCUAUAUUUCCACGCUAAAACCAUCGGAAUCCAUGGCUUCCAAGGCCAUUGGAGUCCUACACCGAUCUCCAUUAACUCCUACAUGCCUGGUUUCUAAAGAUUUAAGCCUUGACCACGAAGAAGCUUGGUCCAGGCUUCGUUUGAUUCAAGUUCUAUGUCCAUCUACAGCCUUGCUCCAGCAAAUCAUGACCGUUCGAGUUUGACCUAGACCUUUCCUUCUCAUAUCAACGACAUUCCAAGCCUUUCUCACCAUUGGGGUUCCUUUGAAACACUAGCUUUUAAGGUUCUUCUGAUAUCUUUAGAUCCGUCUAGAUAUGUGUUUUCCGUGAGCUUUAAAUGGUUUCUUGAGAUUUCUUUCAAAAACUGUGCUUUCAAACCUUUAUCUUUCCGAUUUAGGGUUUCGUUAAGAUGUUCUCUGAUUUUCUUUUUCUCUUGAG